rnacentral:rRNA from 1 species
UACGGGGGGAGCAAGCGUUGUUCGGAUUUACUGGGCGUAAAGGGCGCGUAGGCGGCGCAACAAGUCACUUGUGAAAUCCCCGGGCUUAACCUGGGAAUGGCAUUUGGGACUGCAAGGCUUGAGUGCGGCAGAGGAGACUGGAAUUCCUGGUGUAGCAGUGAAAUGCGUAGAUAUCAGGAGGAAUACCGAUGGCGAAGGCAGGUCUCUGGGCUGACACUGACGCUCAUGCACGAAAGGCGUGGGGAGCAAACAGG